rnacentral:rRNA from 1 species
UACGUAGGGUGCAAGCGUUAAUCGGAAUUACUGGGCGUAAAGCGUGCGCAGGCGGUGAUGUAAGACAGAUGUGAAAUCCCCGGGCUCAACCUGGGAACUGCAUUUGUGACUGCAUCGCUGGAGUGCGGCAGAGGGGGAUGGAAUUCCGCGUGUAGCAGUGAAAUGCGUAGAUAUGCGGAGGAACACCGAUGGCGAAGGCAAUCCCCUGGGCCUGCACUGACGCCUCAUGCACGAAAGCGUGGGGAGCAAACAGG